CUUUAUGAGAGUUUGAUCCUGGCUCAGAACGAACGCUGGCGGCGCGCCUAAUACAUGCAAGUCGAGCGAGAAGGUGUAGCAAUACACUUGUAAAGCGGCGAACGGGUGAGGAAUACAUGGGUAAUCUACCAUCGAGUGGGGAAUAACCAACCGAAAGGUUGGCUAAUACCGCGUACGCCUCCGAGUCUUCGGGUUCGGAGGGAAAGCUGCACUGUGAGUGUAGCGCUCUUUGAUGAGCUCAUGUCCUAUCAGCUUGUUGGUAGGGUAACGGCCUACCAAGGCUUUGACGGGUAGCUGGUCUGAGAGGAC
rnacentral:rRNA from 1 species